rnacentral:tRNA from 1 species
GUUUCUGUAGUGUAGUGGUUAUCACGUUGGCUUUACACGCAAAAGGCUUCUGGUUCAAAACCAGACAGAAACA